UACGUAGGGUGCAAGCGUUGUCCGGAAUUAUUGGGCGUAAAGAGCUCGUAGGCGGUUUGUUGCGUCGGCUGUGAAAUCCCGAGGCUCAACCUCGGGUCUGCAGUCGAUACGAGCAAACUAGAGUGUUGCAGGGGAGACUGGAAUUCCUGGUGUAGCGGUGAAAUGCGCAGAUAUCAGGAGGAACACCGGUGGCGAAGGCGGGUCUCUGGGCAAUUCCUGACG
rnacentral:rRNA from 1 species